ensembl:lncRNA
UUCACAUUCGAAUAAGUUUUCAGUUUUCUUGACAUUCAUGAGGUGCCUUAAGAAAUCUCUGUGUUUGGCUUUUGCACGUAAACUGGGUUAUUUGGAAGCAAUGCCGGCCGUCCUUGUGUCUCGAUGGGCAGUGCAAAGGCAGGAAGCUCCACAGAACUUUGGAGAAGCUUUUCCCCUAGCGAGGGCCCCCUGGGGGCAAACACAGAGAAGGUGCUGCUGUGCGUGUUGGAGUAGGUUGGACUAGGGAAGGAAGCGCUGUCACAACUGCAAUUUCCCUGUUGUACUUUGCCUAAAGCCACUAUAAACCUCACAAAAUGACAGCAGUCUUUCAGACGCAGGCGUUUUGACUUGAUUGGGCUUGAUUUGCAAAGUCACAGGGAAUUUCUUCAACCUGGGAAGCAGGUAGGUACCAGGUAGCCGAGUAAACGGGCUGACGUACGGCCAGUAGUGUUCCUAGUUAUUAAAAAUGAAGUCACAUCUUAAUGCCUUUUAUUUCUUCAUUGUUUUCUGUCUGUGCAUGCAUGAAUUUAGAGUAUCAUUUCAGUAACACUUUUUUCUGAAUUCCUUUCCUGAUGACCUCCUGCUGGGUUAGUUUCCUGCCCCAGGAUUGUUGAGAUGGUAGAUAAUCUGUGAUAAAGUCGCUGGACGUCUGUGUCCUUACAUCAGCACAUGGUAGUGUAGACGUGUACGGCAAAGUAUCAUGUAUUUGUGUGUGUGUGUCCCCUGCUAAAAACCGAAAAGCUGCACUGUGUUCAUAGUCGAGUCAUGGUCAUUUUUUAACAAGAUUUUAUUUGUUUAUUUGAGAGAGAGAGCAUGCAUGAGCAGUGGAAGGAGCAGAGGGAGAAACAGGCUCCCCACUGAGCAGGGAGCCUGAUGCGGGACUCGAUCCCAGGACCCGGGGAUCAUGACCUGAGCCGAAGGCAGACGCUUCACCGACUGAGCCACCCAGGCGCCCCUCAAACAUCUUUUCUGAUGGGGACAUGUGUGGAGCUCUGGGUCCAAACGGCCACCACGAUUCCCUGCACCGGAGCUGCUCAUGCCGAAGUUCGCAUCCUCAUGGACAUUUCUGACAUUGGCGUUGCCUUUUCUCCAUGUGACCAGACAAGCUCAAAGACUCCAAGACUCCAUGUGACCUUCAGCUUGGUCUCUCUAAGCAUCGGCUUCAUUAUUUGUGCAAUAAGGGUUGUAACAGUAGUUACUACAAACCAGUUGUAAGGAAGCAAAGAGCCAGCAAUGGAGCAGUCAGAACGGUGUUGGGCAGCCAGCAGGUGCACAGGUGAUGCUAGCAGUGGAGCUGUUGGCAUGCGUCCCACGGAGUGGAGCUGAAGACACACCCCGUGGUCAUCACUCACAUGAGAAGUUCGGUCUGCUGAUCACAAGGGUGAACGGGAGAGGAGAUUCGAGCAUGUUCCAGAAGGAAUUCCAGAAGCGCAGAGAGACAUGAGAAGGUUUGCAGUUAUGAACCCAGUACUUAAAACUCUGAGACAUAGGAGACUAUCCAAAGAUAACCGUUCAGUACACGAUGAGAUAGUAACGCAAAUGAUCUGAACACAUUUUAUUUAAGGAAAGGGUAUUAAAAUCACACAAGAAUGUUUUUGAAAAUAGAUUUUUUUUUUAAAUUAAAUUUUUU